rnacentral:rRNA from 1 species
GACGAACGCUGGCGGCGUGCUUAACACAUGCAAGUCGAACGGAAAGGCCCUGCUUUUGUGGGGUGCUCGAGUGGCGAACGGGGGAGUAACACGUGAGUAACCUGCCCUUGACUUUGGGAUAACUUCAGGAAACUGGGGCGAAUACCGGAUAUGAUCUCCUGCUGCAUGGUGGGGGUUGGAAAGUUUCGGCGGUUGGGGAUGGACUCGCGGCUUAUCAGCUUGAUGGUGGGGUAGUGGCUUACCCAGGCUUUGACGGGUAGCCGGCCUGAGAGGGUGAGCGGCCACAUUGGGACUGAGAUACGGCCCAGACUCCUACGGGAGGGAGCAGUGGGGAAUAUUGCACAAUGGGCGGAAGCCUGAUGAAGAAGCGCCGCGUGCGGGAUGACGGCCUUAGGGUUGUAAACCGCUUUCGCAUGUGACGAAGCGUGAGUGAAGGUAAUGGGUAAAGAAGCACCGGCUAAAUACGUGC